UACGUAGGGUGCAAGCGUUGUCCGGAAUUAUUGGGCGUAAAGAGCUCGUAGGCGGUCUGUCGCGUCGGAUGUGAAAAUCCAGGGCUCAACCCUGGACCUGCAUUCGAUACGGGCAGACUAGAGUUCGGCAGGGGAGAGUGGAAUUCCUGGUGUAGCGGUGAAAUGCGCAGAUAUCAGGAAGAACACCCGUGGCGAAGGCGGCUCUCUGGGACGGUACUGACGCUGAGACGCGAAAGCGUGGGGAGCGAACAGG
rnacentral:rRNA from 1 species